AACAGCUGCCAUUUUCGCAUCCAUAGGCAAAAUGAAGAAAGGUUACAUGUAAGAAACACAUUUAGCAUAUAGGCUACAGAUUCUAUCAAAUGCGAUUUAAAACUUGUAUUUUACAUACUAGAUUAUCUUUAAAUCUAAUAGAACAAUGCUUGUUGCAUCAAUUGUUGAUUUUUCAACAAAUAUCAUUUUACUAAAUUAUGAUAUUUUUAUCCUUCACCAUCUUUGAACGUACAAUUAUUACUCCAUAUCAUUUUAUCAUUUACAAAAGAAACUGAAUAUAUUAAUGAAGAACAAGACAUAUACAUACACAGGUACUGUAACCUCGGUCAGCUAAUACAAUGACACCACACAAAUACAUAUACAGGUACUGUAACCCUCGGUCAGGUAAUACAAGGACACCACACAAAUACAUAUACAGGUACUGUAACCCUCGGUCAGGUAAUACAAGGACACUACACAAAUACAUAUACAGGUACUGUAACCCUCGGUCAGGUAAUACAAGGACACUACACAAAUACACAUACAGGUACUGUAACCCUCGGUCAGGUAAUACAAGGACACCACACAAAUACAUAUACAGGUACUGUAACCCUCGGUCAGGUAAUACAAGGACACCACACAAAUACAUAUACAGGUACUGUAACCCUCUAUCAGGUAAUACAAGGACACCACACAAAUACAUAUACAGGUACUGUAACCCUCUAUCAGGUAAUACAAGGACACCACACAAAUACAUAUACAGGUACUGUAACCCUCUAUCAGGUAAUACAAGGACACCACACAAAUACAUAUACAGGUACUGUAACCCUCUAUCAGGUAAUACAAGGACACCACACAAAUACAUAUACAGGUACUGUAACCCUCGGUCAGGUAAUACAAGGACACCAAAUACAUAUACAGGUACUGUAACCCUCGGUCAGGUAAUACAAGGACACCACACAAAUACAUAUACAGGUACUGUAACCCUCGGUCAGGUAAUACAAGGACAUCACACAAAUACAUAUACAGGUACUGUAACCCUCGGUCAGGUAAUACAAGGACACCACACAAAUACAUAUACAGGUACUGUAACCCUCUAUCAGGUAAUACAAGGACACCAAAUACAUAUACAGGUACUGUAACCCUCGGUCAGGUAAUACAAGGACACCACACAAAU